rnacentral:rRNA from 1 species
GGUUAUAGCAAUGGGGCUCACCUCUUACCAUUCCGAACAGAGAAGUUAAGCCCAUUAGCGCCGAUGGUACUACAUUUGUGGAAGAGUAGGUCGCCGCCUUUU